UACGUAGGGUGCGAGCGUUAAUCGGAAUUACUGGGCGUAAAGCGUGCGCAGGCGGUUUGUUAAGACAGAUGUGAAAUCCCCGGGCUUAACCUGGGAACUGCAUUUGUGACUGGCAAGCUAGAGUAUGGCAGAGGGGGGGUAGAAUUCCACGUGUAGCAGUGAAAUGCGUAGAGAUGUGGAGGAAUACCGAUGGCGAAGGCAGCCUCCUGGGCCAACACUGACGCUCAUGCACGAAAGCGUGGGGGAGCAAACAGG
rnacentral:rRNA from 1 species